rnacentral:hammerhead_ribozyme from 1 species
AUCCAUCUGACGAGUCCCAAAUAGGACGAGGCGCGCAUCCUGGAU